rnacentral:rRNA from 1 species
CCUACGGGAGGCAGCAGUGGGGAAUAUUGGACAAUGGGCGCAAGCCUGAUCCAGCCAUACCGCGUGUGUGAAGAAGGCCUUUUGGUUGUAAAGCACUUUAAGCGAGGAGGAGGCUCUUGAGGUUAAUACCCUUGAUGAGUGGACGUUACUCGCAGAAUAAGCACCGGCUAACUCUGUGCCAGCAGCCGCGGUAAUACAGAGGGUGCGAGCGUUAAUCGGAAUUACUGGGCGUAAAGCGCGCGUAGGCGGCUUGUUAAGUCGGAUGUGAAAUCCCCGGGCUCAACCUGGGCACUGCAUUCGAUACUGGCAAGCUAGAGUAUGGGAGAGGAAGGUAGAAUUCCAGGUGUAGCGGUGAAAUGCGUAGAGAUCUGGAGGAAUACCGAUGGCGAAGGCAGCCUUCUGGCCUAAUACUGACGCUGAGGUGCGAAAGCAUGGGGAGCAAACAGGAUUAGAUACCCUGGUAGUCCAUGCCGUAAACGAUGUCAACUAGCCGUUGGGGACCUUGAGUCUUUAGUGCGCAGCUAACGCGAUAAGUUGACCGCCUGGGGAGUACGGUCGCAAGACUAAAACUCAAAGGAAUUGACGG